rnacentral:rRNA from 1 species
CCUACGGUGGGCAGCAGUAGGGAAUCUUCCACAAUGGGCGAAAGCCUGAUGGAGCAACGCCGCGUGGGUGAAGAAGGUCUUCGGAUCGUAAAACCCUGUUUUUAGAGAAGCAAGUGCGUGAGAGUAACUGUUCACGUUUCGACGGUAUCUAACCAGAAAGCCACGGCUAACUACGUGCCAGCAGCCGCGGUAAUACGUAGGUGGCAAGCGUUAUCCGGAUUUAUUGGGCGUAAAGGGAACGCAGGCGGUCUGUUAAGUCUGAUGUGAAAACCUUCGGCUUAACCGGAGUAGUGCAUUGGAAACUGGGAGACUUGAGUGAAGAAGAGGAGAGUGGAAUUCGAUGUGUAGCGGUGAAAUGCGUAGAUAUCUGGAAGAACACCAGUGGCGAAAGCGGCUUUCUGGUCUGUAACUGACGCUGAGGUUCGAAAGCGUGGGUAGCAAACAGGAUUAGAUACCCGGGUAGUC